rnacentral:rRNA from 1 species
CCUACGGGUGGCAGCAGUAGGGAAUUUUUCACAAUGGGCGAAAGCCUGAUGGAGCAAUGCCGCGUGAAUGAAGAAGGUCUUAUAGAUUGUAAAAUUCUUUUAUUUGGGAAGAAAAACUUAAGUAGUAAAUAACUUUAGUCUGACUGUACCAUAUGAAUAAGUAUCGGCUAACUAUGUGCCAGCAGCCGCGGUAAUACAUAGGAUGUAAGCGUUAUCCGGAUUUAUUGGGCGUAAACCGAGCGAAGGGGGGUUAACAAGUUUGGUAAGAAAGGCUUUUGCUUAACGAAAGUUUGUAUCAAAAACGGUUAAUCUAGAGUGGAGUAGAGAGUGCGGGAAUUCCAGGUGGAGCGGUGGAAG